UACGAAGGGGGCUAGCGUUGCUCGGAAUCACUGGGCGUAAAGGGUGCGUAGGCGGGUCUUUAAGUCCGGGGUGAAAUCCUGGAGCUCAACUCCGGAACUGCCUUUGAUACUGAAGAUCUUGAGUUCGGGAGAGGUGAGUGGAACUGCGAGUGUAGAGGUGAAAUUCGUAGAUAUUCGCAAGAACACCUGUGGCGAAAGCGGCUCACUGGACCAUAACUGACGCUGAUGCACGAAAGCUGGGGGAGCAAACAGG
rnacentral:rRNA from 1 species